AUUGAACGCUGGCGGCAGGCCUAACACAUGCAAGUCGAGCGGAUGAAGGGAGCUUGCUCCUGGAUUCAGCGGCGGACGGGUGAGUAAUGCCUAGGAAUCUGCCUGGUAGUGGGGGAUAACGUCCGGAAACGGGCGCUAAUACCGCAUACGUCCUGAGGGAGAAAGUGGGGGAUCUUCGGACCUCACGCUAUCAGAUGAGCCCAGGUCGGAUUAGCUAGUUGGUGGGGUAAAGGCCUACCAAGGCGACGAUCCGUAACUGGUCUGAGAGGAUGAUCAGUCACACUGGAACUGAGACACGGUCCAGACUCCUACGGGAGGCAGCAGUGGGGAAUAUUGGACAAUGGGCGAAAGCCUGAUCCAGCCAUGCCGCGUGUGUGAAGAAGGUCUUCGGAUAGUAAAGCACUUUUAGUUGGGAGGAAGGGCAGUAAGUUAAUACCUUGCUGUUUUGACGGUACCAUCAGAAUAAGCACCGGCUAACUUCGUG
rnacentral:rRNA from 1 species